AGGGAGUGUCGGAGAAAACUUGUUAUUGAGGAAGAGUUCAGAAAUCAGCUGAGCGCUGACACACACACACACACACACACACACACACACGGACCUGCCGAUCUGCCGAGGCUCAAACCAGCGAUCCCUCAGAGAUGGUGUGACUGAUCAUCAGCGCCUGCAGGUACGUGGCGAGGAAGAUCCGGGCUGCAGUGCGAGGAGAGGAGCAGCCGGAGAAACCGACCACCGCAGGAUGCAACCGGACAAAACCUCAAAAGGACGUCGGGAUGAGCAGCGAACCCGCCCUGAUUGACUCGUCCACGACGCAGGAGGUCGCCGCGCUGCAGGAGGACUGCGGAUCCUGAAAGUAAAGUGGGAGCUGGAGGGCAGAGGGGAGGGGCUAAAAACAUCAAACCAAACAAAAUAAUCUGGUCUGAAGUCAGUCUGACCCUCACCCACUGACCUCCUCCUGCUUCCAGCUCUCGCCGCUCUUUCACGCUCGUCCUCCAUCUCUGAGAGCUGUCAGCAGAGAGGAUGAAAGGCCGCUCACCAAGUCCUGCUCUGAGGACCUGAUCGGCCUGGAUGACCCUGAAGGUCUCUGCUGACGAAGCUCUCAAAACAUGUCCUCCUUCUGUCAUCGCUUUCAAUAAAAGUUUUCUAUGCUGAAA